rnacentral:rRNA from 1 species
UGCCAGACUCCUACGGGAGGCAGCAGUGGGGAAUAUUGCACAAUGGGGGAAACCCUGAUGCAGCGACGCCGCGUGAGUGAAGAAGUACUUCGUUAUGUAAAGCUCUCUCAGCAGGGAAGAAAAUGACGGUACCUGAAGAAGAAGCCCCGGCUAACUACGUGCCAGCAGCCGCGGUAAUACGUAGGGGGCAAGCGUUAUCCGGAUUUACUGGGUGUAAAGGGGGCGCAGACGGCGAUGCAAGCCAGGAGUGAAAGCCCGGGGCCCAACCCCGGGACUGCUCUUGGAACUGCGUGGCUGGAGUGCAGGAGGGGCAGGCGGAAUUCCUGGUGUAGCGGUGAAAUGCGUAGAUAUCAGGAGGAACACCGGUGGCGAAGGCGGCCUGCUGGACUGCAACUGACGUUGAGGCCCGAAAGCGUGGGGAGCAAACAGGAUUAGAUACCCCCGUAC